GGAGAAAAAAAAAAACAAUGGUUUAGAAAAGUUGUGCCGCUCAGUAAUAAAACUAAUAAUAAUAAUUUUUAAAAAAAUUGAGGAUAAAUUUUGAGGGAAAAAAAUUUAAAAAAAUUUGAAAAAAAAACAGUAUGAGAUUGACAAAAGGCUGGAAUCUGGAUUCAAGCUCAGGGGUAAUUUAGGCAACUAUUUUAACCUUUAAUGCAUAUAUAUAACCAAUACAAUGCAAUGCAUAAAAAGUACAUUUUAAGUUCAUCACAUGCACAAUUUACCUCGCUAGGAGUAAUUGCUG
rnacentral:misc_RNA from 1 species